AUUGAACGCUGGCGGCAUGCUUUACACAUGCAAGUCGAACGGUAACAGGCCUUCGGGUGCUGACGAGUGGCGAACGGGUGAGUAAUGCAUCGGAACGUGCCCAGAGGUGGGGGUUAACGCAGCGAAAGCUGUGCUAAUACCGCAUGUGAUCUGAGGAUGAAAGCGGGGGACCAGGCAGCAAUGUUUGGCCUCGCGCCUUUGGAGCGGCCGAUGUCAGAUUAGGUAGUUGGUGGGGUAAAGGCCUACCAAGCCGACGAUCUGUAGCUGGUCUGAGAGGACGACCAGCCACACUGGGACUGGGACACGGCCCAGACUCCUACGGGAGGCAGCAGUGGGGAAUUUUGGACAAUGGGCGCAAGCCUGAUCCAGCAAUGCCGCGUGUGGGAAGAAGGCCUUCGGGGUGUAAACCGCUUUUGUACGGAACGAAAAGGUUCUGGCUAAUACCUGGGGCUGAUGACGGUACCGGAAGAAUAAGCACCGGCUAACUACGUG
rnacentral:rRNA from 1 species